rnacentral:piRNA from 1 species
AGGGUAUUGAAUUCGAGCUUCGGAAAGUUG